UUCAUUUUUCAGAAAAAAUAUUUCAUACUUCAAAACAUUUGCUUUAUAUCCACACUGUAGUGCUGAAUAUUAAAAGAAAUGCCACCUUGUGUGCUUAUCUUCACUUAAAUUCCUCGUUAGGCCUCACUUGCCCUGGACUGUUUUCUCCCUUGAAAAAUAGUGUAACACGCUAAUUAGUACUUGAACUGUCUUUCUGAAAAGAAUGCAUGCAUCCUAUAGGAUAGCAUCUAUCUCUUAGUCUCGGCUUAUAGGAUUUCUCUUUAAAUCCUAACUCGGCUUUACUGCUCUGCAGUACUUAAUCAUUUUCUUUACUUCCUUUGGGGAAAUUCUAUUUUCUCAAUAAAUAUGGAUUCUUAAAAUCCCUCCCUAAAUUCCUUCUUCUUCGGAUUUUUCUCAAGGCCGCCCAUGGCGUCGCAGGGCGACGCGGUCGACUUUCGCAUCUCCGCUUUAAUAUUUUCCGUCUUCGGAAACUUAGUAAUUUAUUCGGGAAUUAAUGAUUUAAGCUCCAAGCUUAAUUCCUUAAAUUAAUUCCACUCCACAAUAUUAAUUUCCCCAAGUCCACUAAUUUAAUGAAGUAGCCCACUCCAAUAAAUCUCUUGGCCCAAACUAAAUUAGAACUACACAAAUUUAUUCAAAUUUGGCCCAGCUACCAAUUAAUCGGCCCAACUUAUUAAUUACUGGCCCAAUUCCUCAAUGUAAUUAAAGUGGCUCACUUUCAAUAAUUUAAAAUGGGACUAAUUUAUACUCCUUCCGUCGGCUUCCUUUCUCAACUUUUCUUUCCUUCUCUCUUUUUUUUUUUUCUAAAAUCCAAAUUAAGAAUAACAGAAGGCAGCGCCUUCUUCUUCUUCACGCCCCCAUUUCCGUUUCCUCCCCUUUUCCGGCGGUUCUCGCCCCCAAAUUGGACUUCUCCUCAAAAUCCCCAAAUUUUCCAAAUCCCUAAAUUUUCCAAAUCCCUAAAUUGAGGAAUUACAGCAGCGGCACUCUCCUCCGUCGUGGUUCCCGCCGAAAUCGCCGCUCCACGGCGUUGUCGCCGGCUCCGCCUCCUCUGCAGUUCCUCCCCACAGCGAGCUCUCCCUUUGCAACGAUGUGAACGCCGCCGGCGGGCAGCGCUGCUGCGCGCGCCGUCUCCGGCUCUCUCGCCCCCUUCCUCGACGGUCCAUCAGUGCAGAGGAGGCGUCGCCUCCUUCUGUCUUCCCCUAUUCCCCUUUCACCAUUUCGUGAUUUAUUCCGAGCUCUAGUUAUGGCAGCAUUGAUUCAUUGUUGAGUUUUGCCUAAGUUUUCUUUCUCAAGUGGUGAUCUUGUUGGGGAGAGUUUGCUCUAAGUUCGAUUACCACUGGAUGUUUAUUGCUACUAGAAUACUUGUGGUGCUAAUUUCCUCUACUGAUUAUUGAGGCAGAUUCUAAGUCCCCUUGAGUUCUUGUCCUUGGUUACCUACUGUGAUUGUUCUACAUGAUGCAAGAGUGGUGAUGGGGUUGAGGGAAUUACCUUGCUCGGUGCACCCUCUCGGUCUGCCCUCCUCACUGCCGCUGCUCCUCACCGCCGCCCCUUACUCCGCUGCACUCCCUUGCCUUGCGAGAAUUUUGCAGGAAAAGAGUGUGGAGUGGGGAGGGGAGUGACGGUGGUAUUUAUAGGCAAAUUUCCUCAUCCUUGGUGGCAGGUUUUGGGGAGUGUAACUUGCUACUUUGAACUACAUGUUUCUCCUUCUUUUGAGUUUGUUGUUUAGGCUUCCCUGCCUACUUUGGUGAAAUUCUUGUGAAUGACAAAAGGGCUGAUUCCCAGCUCUAAUUUGGGCAUGUACAGUGGCUCAUUCCACUAUGAUCCCUUGUUUGACUCCUUCUUUGGAGUAACUGGAAUGCGUGAUGAAAUGUGGCUGCCUCCCUAGCCAAGAGGGUACUAAGGCUGCACAUUUGGAGCUUGGAGGAGCUGGAUUUUCGAGAGAGAGAAGGAGAAGAGAAAGGAGAAUCUCAUUCAACACCUACUUGCCUUAUUGCUAGGUUUAGCCACUUUGUUAGAGUACUAGGUUCAAAAAUAGCUCUUGACCAAGCUCUAGUUAGUCACUAGUUGGUGUUGUCCCUCUCAAGAUGUAGUGUAGGAUAGUUUGUAGUUUGACCUCAUUGCGCGGAAAACGAGGCAUGUAAUAUUUGUAUUUGAUUUUCUCCAAUAAUUUCCAAUAGUCAUUUAUUUCAA